UACAUCUUGUUUUGACAAGUACCCAAACAAAAUAUGCAUAUGUUUCAUCUGAAAAUCUCAUAUUUUAGCAGCAUUGCAUCAGUUCAAAUGCUUCUGAAUUGCAUCAGUUCUAGGACACUACUAGACAGUCAUGAUAUUGAUCUUCUGAAUUGGAUUGCAGGUUUACACCCCGAAAUGUUCAUAGCACCCGAAGUGACUUAUGUAUUGUUCUUUGUCUUGGUGAAAUUUGGCAGUAUCAAUUUACUUUUUCCUGAUGCUUGCUAUUACUUCUUUUCUCGCUUGGCAUGAUGACAGGUGAAGCAAAAGAAGCAACUUCUGCCUAGAUAUUGAAGUAUGUGCCCAUUCAUGAAGAAAUAUUCCUGAUCCAUUUUCUCCACAUUAAUGGAUUUUUUGCUGUUCAAGAUGGAAGAGGAGCAAUAUAGGAAAACUCCAAAAUUCUGUACCAUGGUCCCUGGAUACAACCUGUUUAUUUGG
rnacentral:misc_RNA from 1 species